UAGGGAAUUUUCCACAAUGGGCGAAAGCCUGAUGGAGCAACGCCGCGUGCAGGAUGAAGGCCUUCGGGUUGUAAACUGCUUUUAUGUAUGACGAUUAUGACGGUAGUACAUGAAUAAGGAUCGGCUAACUCCGUGCCAGCAGCCGCGGUCAUACGGAGGAUCCAAGCGUUAUCCGGAAUUACUGGGCGUAAAGAGUUGCGUAGGUGGCAGAGUAAGCAGAGUAUGAAAGCGUGUGGCUCAACCAUACAACCAUAUUUUGAACUGCUCAGCUAGAGGACGAGAGAGGUAACUGGAAUUUCUAGUGUAGGAGUGAAAUCCGUAGAUAUUAGAAGGAACACCGAUGGCGUAGGCAGGUUACUAGCUCGCUCCUGACACUCAGGCACGAAAGCGUGGGGAGCAAACGGGAUUAGAUACCCCCGUAGUCC
rnacentral:rRNA from 1 species